AUUGAACGCUGGCGGCAGGCCUAACACAUGCAAGUCGAGCGGAUGACGGGAGCUUGCUCCUUGAUUCAGCGGCGGACGGGUGAGUAAUGCCUAGGAAUCUGCCUGGUAGUGGGGGACAACGUUUCGAAAGGAACGCUAAUACCGCAUACGUCCUACGGGAGAAAGCAGGGGACCUUCGGGCCUUGCGCUAUCAGAUGAGCCUAGGUCGGAUUAGCUAGUUGGUGGGGUGAUGGCUCACCAAGGCGACGAUCCGUAACUGGUCUGAGAGGAUGAUCAGUCACACUGGAACUGAGACACGGUCCAGACUCCUACGGGAGGCAGCAGUGGGGAAUAUUGGACAAUGGGCGAAAGCCUGAUCCAGCCAUGCCGCGUGUGUGAAGAAGGUCUUCGGAUUGUAAAGCACUUUAAGUUGGGAGGAAGGGCAGUAAGUUAAUACCUUGCUGUUUUGACGUUACCAACAGAAUAAGCACCGGCUAACUCUGUGCCAGCCGCCGCGGUAACAC
rnacentral:rRNA from 1 species